UACGUAGGGUGCGAGCGUUGUCCGGAAUUAUUGGGCGUAAAGAGCUCGUAGGCGGUCUGUCGCGUCGGUCGUGAAAACCUGCAGCUUAACUGUGGGCGUGCGGUCGAUACGGGCAUGACUGGAGUUCGGCAGGGGAGACUGGAAUUCCUGGUGUAGCGGUGAAAUGCGCAGAUAUCAGGAGGAACACCGGUGGCGAAGGCGGGUCUCUGGGCCGAUACUGACGCUGAGGAGCGAAAGCGUGGGGAGCGAGCAGG
rnacentral:rRNA from 1 species